rnacentral:rRNA from 1 species
AUUGAACGCUGGCGGCAUGCCUUACGCAUGCAAGUCGAACGGCAGCACGGGAGCAAUCCUGGUGGCGAGUGGCGAACGGGUGAGUAAUAUAUCGGAACGUGCCCAGUAGUGGGGGAUAGCCCGGCGAAAGCCGGAUUAAUACCGCAUACGACCUGAGGGUGAAAGCGGGGGAUCGCAAGACCUCGCGCUAUUGGAGCGGCCGAUAUCAGAUUAGCUAGUUGGUGGGGUAAAGGCCUACCAAGGCUACGAUCUGUAGUUGGUCUGAGAGGACGACCAGCCACACUGGGACUGAGACACGGCCCAGACUCCUACGGGAGGCAGCAGUGGGGAAUUUUGGGACAAUGGGCGCAAGCCUGAUCCAGCAAUGCCGCGUGCAGGAAGAAGGCCUUCGGGUUGGUAAACUAGCUUUUGUCUAGGGAAGAAAGUACUUCUGGGCUAAUACCCCGGGACGGAGUGACGGUA